ensembl:snRNA U6 U6 spliceosomal RNA
UCGCUUCGGCAGCACACAUACUAAAAUUGGAACGAUACAGAGAAGAUUAGCAUGGCCCCUGAGCAAGGAUGACAUGCAAAUUCAUGAAGCGUUCCAUAUUUUU